GAGCCGUCCGCGGGCGCUGGACGGAGACCACGCGGGGGCACGGCGGGGCCGGGCUCAGCCCGGAGCCUCGCCUCCACAGCCCGGCGUGGCCGGGCCACGCCGCCAGGCUCCGACCCGCUGCCCGGGGCGGCCGCCCCUCACCGCAGCGCCGCGGCCGCCACCCUCCCCAACCCCCGCGCCCCCGGGGCGGGAGGGCGCCAGGCCCGUCCCCGGUCCCGUCCCCCGCCCCGGUUCGCCUCUCACCACGGGCCCCGCCAGCCGGGCCAGCUCGUAGCUCUCCCGCCGGGCACCCGCGGGCAGGAGGCGCCGGAGGCCCCGCAGGCACCGCGCUGCCGCGCCGCCCGCCGCCGCCAUGAGCCGCCCCGCCGCCGCCGCCGCCCGCUCGCUUUAUGGGCACGGCCCGGCCCGGCUCCCCGCCCCCGGGGCCGCGGGGCUGCCGCCUGUGGGCGGUGCGGGCCGGCACGGCACGGCACGGGCCCCUCCGCGCAGCGGCUGAGGGCUGGGGACCCUCCGCCGACCAAGGAGGGGGACCCCGACCUCCGUGCUCCGGCCGUCUGUCGGGGGGCGCCCGUGGGGAGGCGGGAGCUGGGGGCGCCCCGGCUCCGCACACACGUGUUGGCCGCGGCCCACCGUGGGUUUUUUCAUAGAAUCACAGAAUGGUUUGGGCUGGAAGGGACCUUUAGGGGCCAUCCAGCCCAGCCCCCCCGCAGUGAGCAGGGACAUCUUCAGCUGGACCAGGUUGCUCAGAGCCCCGUCCAGCCUGACCUUGGAUGUUUCCAGGGAUGGGGCAUCGACCACCUCUCUGGGCAACCUGGGCCGGGGUUUUACUACCCUCAGUGUAAAAAAUGUCUUCCUUACAUCCAGUCUAAAUCCACCCUCCUUUAGUUUAAAACCACCAUCCCUCAUCCUGUCACAACAGGCCUUGCUAAAGAGGUUGAGAGGUUGCCCCCAUCUUUCCUAUAAUCUGCCUUCAAGCACUGGAAGGCCACAAUAAGGUCUCCCCACAGCCUUCUCUUCUCCAGGCUGAACAACCCCAACUCUCUCAGCCUGUCCUUGUAGCAGAGGAGCUCCAGCCCUUGGAUCAUUUUUGUGAGUCUGGCCCCACUCCAACAGCUCCAUGUCCUUCCUGUGCUGGGGGCUCCAGAGCCGGACGCAGCGCUUCAGGGGGAUCUCACCAGAGCGGAGCAGAGGGCCAGAAUCCCCUCCUGCGACCCACUGCCCGCACUGCUGGGGAUGCAGCCCUGGGUACGAUUGGCCUUCUGGGCUGCGAGCACACAUUGUUGGCUCGUGUCCAGCCUUUCGUUCACCAGCACCCCCAAGUGCUUCUCCGCAGGGCUGGUCUCAAUCCCUUCACCCCCCAGCCUGAAUUGAUAUUGGGGGUUGCCCCAACCCAGGUAGGGGGGAUUGGGGACAGACCCAUGUGAGAGCUGUGGGCUGAGGACCCCCCUUACGUGUGUUGGUGAGGGACUCAAGGCCAUGCUGUGUGGGGAGCAGAGGACCCCCCUAUUUGUUAUCUGUCAUCUAAAGCCCUUAUACAUGUUGGCUACGGGUUGGGGACCCCCUAGGAAUCCCACAUAUGUUGACCAGGGGUUCAUCAGCGAUCCAGAGACCCCCUCCCCAGGUGGUGGCUACGGACUGAGGUCCUGAUUGUGGGGCAAUGGCUUGGGACCCACAAUGUGCUGGCUGUGGGCUGGGUCCCCCAACAUAAGGGCCUGGAAAGGAAGGGAUGUCUCAGCACAUCCUCCAGGACCAAAGGGAUGUCCCCUCUGCCAUCAGCAUUACGAUAACAGCAGGGGCAGCUGGCUCUAGGCAUCCUCUCCCUCCCCUCCAUCCACCCACGGGCACUUCACCAACAGGGUGACCUGGGGAUCUCCCUCGGAACCAGGAACUCCCACCCGGCAGGCUGGAGCCCAGCUGCCUCCACAGCGCAGCUAGCAGGGUGCGAACAUUUGAAGGGGGGCUACUGGACCCUAAGUUUGGCUGGGGCGCCCAUGGCUGCGUUUGCCCAGCACCUGGGAAGGAGAGGCCUUGGUCUGGGUGGGAGCUUGGGUUGUUACAGGAGUGAGAUUCUACCCAAGUGCAGGAGUUUGUAACCAAGUAGCUGUAACCAAAUCUAUUUCUAAUGCACAGAAAAUUACAGUGGAAAAUGGGGCUUGGUUUUACAGCUGUUUAAACACUGCCCUGGUGCCUUACAGCUUGGUGUCACCGCCUAGAAAUGUAAAGUCUCAUUAAUGUUUCACUUAACCCCUUGCUCCUUCAGAUACAAUGUGACAUCAUGAAAAAACGUAUAAUAGCAGUGGUGAGUCAUAGCCGCUCAUUUUACGUGCCAGGAUGAAAUCAGGGUAUUUCUGGACAAAAGAGUGCCUGGUGCUGCCACAAUCUGGUCUUGAGUUCCUCCUGAAUUUGGUCAUAGUCAAUGGGGAAAGGGCAACUUGCAAAAUUUACCUGAAGCCAUUUCUUCAGGACCUGAGUGUUUCAAUGUAGCCGGAGGAUUUCAUUUGCAGAUCACCAAAACCUUUUCACAAAUAGGGAGAGAACAAUGUAAAGUUCAAUGUAAGGUUUGGGAGCGUAUUUUUACUUUGGAACAGUUUUUUCUUCCUUUCGUGGUGUUCACAUCACCACCCCCCACCCUGGGUGGCUGGGGCCACCCUGAUGUGAUUUCGCAGUGUGCGCAGGCUGAGCUGAGGGAAACAUUUUGCUCUUCUCCGAAGGGGGAAAGGAGAGGAACAAACGGACUUGCAGGAUGGAAAUGUCCUGGGCCAACAUUUUCAGACAUGGAUGCUUCAAGUCAGAUUCUUACAUUAAUGUUUCAGAGACGUGAGGCCUUUCUUGCCCUGAGUGCUCAGCACUCUCACCAUUCAGGGCGCUCAGCUGCAGGUAGGACUGCUCAGCACCACUGAAAAGAGAUUAAAUAGAGAUUUUCAUGCUGAUGUUAAGACAGCCAGCGUGCAAACCUCAGCCACGCCUUCGGAGGGUGGAAAAUGGACUGAAGAAAUGACAGAGAAGGUGUCACUCCAGGCUCAUCCUAGGUAAAAGGCAGCAAGUUUCACUGGUGUUUGCUCCAAUUGGUGUGGCUUCGUGCAGGGCUUGGCAAGCUGGGGCUGCCCCUUCUCUCCGUGAUCCUUCCCUCCGCUGUGGCGGGCAGAGCAGCGGGCAGUUGGCUGCAUGUGCUGCAGCCCGUGCUGCCUGCGGGAUGGCACUGCAAUGGCAGCCAUGAAGAAACAUAGACGUACUUUGCAGUGCAUGACCUGCAUCCUGGCUGGUGGUGUGACUGCUGUCACCAGCCCGGCUGUGAGAUGGCCAGAGGGUUCCUGCAGUGUCGUUAUCUCAUGUGGAGGCAGGAGGGGAAAUGAUGUGGCUCAGACGGUGCCGUUCAUGGUCCUCAACAAGCAGCACAAGUGUGAGUCCCUUUGAAGUUUAACUUGUGACCCUGCUGAGAUCAAUACCCUGGGCUGGCAAAGAGGAGGCAGAGAAUCAGGCAGAAACCUGGGGGAAAGGACUUUGGAAAGAAUAGGGGGAACUUUAAAAAGGCUUAGGGGAGAAAUGUUACUUCCAAGCCCCAGGACCCAGGUACAGGACUAGCCCCUAGAAAGGCCCCCGACAUGCAUAGAUGGGGUGUGAUUGAAAUCCUCGUCUUGUGUUUUGCUGCUACUGUUUGAAAUCAAAUAUAUUUGUUUGCUGUUUAUGUGAUUACAUGUGGAUCCCAGUCUUGUUGGGAGGCAGAAUGGGCACCCCAGGACCUGGUCUGAUGAGCAGGAUCUGAUGACCCAAGGUCUCCCCAUCACCAGCACGACAGACUGGGCUCUGCUUCAUCCUCCCUGCUCUCAGAUUAGCCACAUGAGCUGCUGAAGGGGACGUGGGUCGGUGCAAUCUUGCAGGCUGAGCCCUGCACUGGCACUGGAUGCCAGCACAUUUGCUCCUUCCCUUUCUGUGAUGGAGGCAAGGACCUUGCCAGCUGCCCGGCGAGAUUCAGCAGGGCUCAUCAGCUGCAGCUCCCAGACAGAUCGGGAGGGUCAAAGGUACCUCUAAGCCUUGCACCAAGCUGCCCUCAGCAAUCCAGAUAUUAACAGUAUUGCAACACCAGUUAGAAGAAUUUGAAGGGUCAAAUUCCUUUGGAGCAGAACAUCGCUGAACUCGGUCAGUUUAGACCUCCAGCGAAUUUGGAGCAGUGUUUUGGAAGGCUGACACCUUAACACAGACCUGUUUGAAGGAGUUAAUGUGUGACCAGCUACAAACCAUCUGGAGCAGACAGAUGGCCUGCCCUGCUGGAGCUGGUUUCGGCAGCUGGGACCCUGUGCAGUUCUCAGCAAUGCUGAUGUGAAUCCAGAAGAAAGAAGAUGAGGGAAGGAUUGCAGUUGCUUGCAUGCUCUGUAGAGCAGAAUUAGGCCUUUUUUUCUGCUGAUUUCCAGCAGGGUGACUACCCAGGGCUUUCUCUAGAUAUGUACAUCCGUAUUCUGAAAGACAGCCAACACCCUGUUACUAAAGUAAACCCCACAAACAUACCAUGUCUGGAACCAUUGCGAUUAAGAGCUACCAAAUAAGAAAAAUGUCACAACACAAUGGAUUUACGUCAAACAUUCAACUGUUUGAAGAGUGUCUCUUUCUUUUAGGAGACCUUGCUGCUGGCCGAUGUCCAGAUACCAUGGAAAAACCACUCCCCUCCGUGCAAUCUGGAGUUCAGAAUAUAGCUAAAUUGAAAAGUAAAGAGCCUUUUGCAAUCACACCAGGUUUUAUUUAAGCGCCACACCGUAGGAUCAGGUGAUCAGAGCCGUCAGUGGAUACAGCACAUGGAUUUGGGGCUUGUCAACAGGGAGAACAAACCAGAAUAGCUGUCUUCAGAUAGCUCCCCUCUCAUGAGAGCUGACUGUGGAAGAAAGUCCCUAUGUUCUGGAGUAGUAACUGCAUUAGCAAAACAUGCUAAUAAUUUUAGAUUAUAGCGACCCUUACUGCAGGGUAGCUUCUCUAUUGGGUACACAGGGAUGGUUUUUCUGCUUAACCCCACGUAAAUGUUCUCAAGUCCAUCCUGCAGAUUGACAAGGCUUCCUUGGGCCCAGGAGAACUGGUGUUCCAUCGCUGCCUGCAUCUCCAAGGUAUAAUUAAUGUUCAAUAAUGUCAAAAAACAUAAUGUCUAGUGAUGUUUUAAAUGGUGCUGACUGGUGAUGCAGCUGCUGCACUGAAGUGGCUACAGGACCUGCAGUUACACGGCUGUCAGAAAGCCUGGACUCGGGAGCAGGCAGCUCUCAGCAGACUCAAAUCAUCCUGGCUGUUCUUAUUGCCCGUAACUGCUAUUUUUUGGCAUGGACAGUCACAUGAACAGGACUGCUCACACCAUUAUUUGUCCCAGCUUGCUAGUGCAGGUGCGCCUCUGUAAGAAAGGUUAUAGUAAAGCUCAAAACCGAUGUUUACAGUGGCUGGAAUUUGUCCAAAAGGCAGUUGCAUGUUUUUAAAAAAUAAAAAAAAAGGGCAACGAGCAAUCUAGCGUCACACUGGUACCCACAAGCCUCACACGGCCUCCGUGCCUCUGCAUUGCUGUGGAUCCGCCGCUGUGUGCUGCUGCUUGCCCGUGCCCUUGCAGUGCUGUCUGAGCUGGGAGCGAACCUGGGGCUCCUUUUGUGUCCUGGAAAGCUGCCUUCGCAAAGACCGAGACUAACCAGACUGUCUCUCUCUGCUGUUGUGUUUCACGUUGGUUCUCAAACGGGCAUCCUGAAUCCACGGCUCUGCUGCGGAGCCUGCGCACGGGCAGACCUCCUCCCACAACGGGACCCUCACAAGUGUCCGCGUGGCUUAACCUCAGUGUAGUCACGCCUCACGUUGUGAUGUUGUUUGCGCCCUCGCUGCUGAGAGCACACGUGCAGAUGCUCCAACCCAAAAGCCUCAAACUUCAGCCCCCCAAACCCAUCCUCCGGACUCAGCCCAACACACGCUUACGCGUUUAUUUUGCUUCACUGGCGUGUGAGAGGGGAGGGUGUGUGUUUGUGUGCAGAGGUGUUUGCCGGCCAGGGCAGGCGGGCCAGGAUCUGUGGCGUGGACACACGGACGUCGGUCCAAAGCGGCUGAGGAUCCGUGCUGCAGUGGGUUCUGUGGGCUUGCAGGUUACAGACUUUGAUUACAAAGAGUGAAUAAAUGUUAAAGCCUG